CUAGGGUUACUGUAGACUUUUGAGAAGGAUCACCAGCUCCAAAAGGAGCCAGUGAAUUUAGUGAGAGGUUCAUCUGCAGGGCAUCGAUCCUCUAAGAGAGAAAAGAAGAAAAGGUGCAAAAAAUCCUGUGUCGUCGAUCCCAAGCAGAGCAAACCGUCAAAAAUUGACAAAAGCUAGGCAGAGUGCUUCUUCUGUAAGAAGCUG
rnacentral:lncRNA from 1 species